rnacentral:rRNA from 1 species
GUGUUCCUUGAGGAGUGGCUUCCGGAGCUAACGCGUUAAGUCGACCGCCUGGGGAGUACGGCCGCAAGGUUAAAACUCAAAUGAAUUGACGGGGGCCCGCACAAGCGGUGGAGCAUGUGGUUUAAUUCGAUGCAACGCGAAGAACCUUACCUACUCUUGACAUCCAGAGAACUUAGCAGAGAUGCUUUGGUGCCUUCGGGAACUCUGAGACAGGUGCUGCAUGGCUGUCGUCAGCUCGUGUUGUGAAAUGUUGGGUUAAGUCCCGCAACGAGCGCAACCCUUAUCCUUUGUUGCCAGCGGUUCGGCCGGGAACUCAAAGGAGACUGCCAGUGAUAAACUGGAGGAAGGUGGGGAUGACGUCAAGUCAUCAUGGCCCUUACGAGUAGGGCUACACACGUGCUACAAUGGCGCAUACAAAGAGAAGCGACCUCGCGAGAGCAAGCGGACCUCAUAAAGUGCGUCGUAGUCCGGAUCGGAGUCUGCAACUCGACUCCGUGAAGUCGGAAUCGCUAGUAAUCGUAGAUCAGAAUGCUACGGUGAAUACGUUCCCGGGCCUUGCACUCCCCGCC